GCAGGCUGCAACCCGCCUGCAUGAAGUCGGAAUUGCUAGUAAUCGCGGAUCAGCAUGCCGCGGUGAAUACGUUCCCGGGCCUUGUACACACCGCCCGUCACACCAUGGGAGCCGGUAAUACCCGAAGUCAGUAGUCCAACCACGUGAGGACGCUGCCGAAGGUAGGAUUGGCGACUGGGGUGAAGUCGUAACAAGGUAAC
rnacentral:rRNA from 1 species